rnacentral:lncRNA from 1 species
CCUGCUUUGCCUAGCUCUGUGCUGCAAGUCUCUCAGGUAACAGGUGGCAGCUUCCCCUGUUGGAUUCUAGGUUUAAAAAAGAAUGACCUCAUGUGGGUGGAGCUCUGGGACUUCGUAGAGGUGGUGGCAGUCACAGCCAGGUAACCCUGGAGUGAAGCGGUUUAGUUAGAAGGGAGCAGAUAAACUCGUCACUCUAGUAGCUUUAACCCUCACCCUGAGGCACCUUAGCAAUCAGCCAUUGCCUGCAAGCCUCCAAAGCUUGUCUUUGCCUAAUAUGGAGCCCAAAGAAGCCACUGGGAAAGAAAACAUGGUCACCAAGAAAAAGAAUCUGGCCUUCUUGAGGUCUAGACUCUAUAUGCUGGAGAGAAGGAAGACUGACACUGUGGUUGAGAGCAGUGUUUCUGGGGACCACUCUGGCACCUUGAGGAGGAGCCAAUCUGACAGGACCGAAUACAACCAGAAAUUACAAGGACUUUUAGGGGCAGAAGCCAUUCCAGGCAGAGGGAUUAUGCUGGUCCUCAUACAUGGAACAAGUGAAUCAAUUUAGUGAAUCCAAAUGACUUUGUCCAGGUCACAGAGGAAGUGGGUGUCAUUGCCAGAACUGAACUCUAUGCCUCCCUGUCCAGCAAAAUUCCACUACAUAGAACAUGAUGUACCAUGAUCACGACAGUUCCAGUCAGGGAGUGAAGGGAGAGAGCCCAGGCUUCGGAGCUAAGCACAUAAAGUUUGAAUCCAGCUCUUCUGCAUAUUCUAUGAAUCACUGAAUAUAUUUACAUACAUUCACUGUAUUCAGUUUCAUCUCUAAAAUUAGCAUAAUAUCCCAUUUUUAGAGUUGUGAGAAAGAUAAUAAAUAAUGCAUAUUUUAAAAACUGGUAAAUAAAAAGUUCUUGAAAGUGGUUGCUCUUAUUAUAGGCUUAUCACAAUACAUUAUAAUCAAAUAUAAUUGCAGUAAUAGUGUAUAAUGCUUUAAUAUCAAAAAUAAUUUGGGGGAACAUACACGUUUAUAAACAAAAUGCAGUAUGUAUUAGUCUGUUCUCAUGCUGCUGAUAAAGACAUACCUGAGACUGGGUAAUUUAUAAAGGAAAGAG